UACGUAGGGGGCAAGCGUUGUCCGGAAUCAUUAGGCGUAAAGCGCGUGUAGGCGGUCCGGUAAGUCCGCUGUGAAAGUCGAGGGCUCAACCCUCGAAUGCCGGUGGAUACUGUCGGGCUUGAGUACGGGAGAGGCGAGUGGAAUUCCUGGUGUAGCGGUGAAAUGCGCAGAUAUCAGGAGGAACACCGAUUGCGAAGGCAGCUCGCUGGAACGUUACUGACGCUGAGACGCGAAAGCGUGGGGAGCAAACAGG
rnacentral:rRNA from 1 species